CUACGUGCCAGCAGCCGCGGUAAUACGUAGGGCGCGAGCGUUGUCCGGAAUUAUUGGGCGUAAAGAGCUUGUAGGCGGUUUGUCGCGUCUGCUGUGAAAGGCCGGGGCUUAACUCCGUGUAUUGCAGUGGGUACGGGCAGACUAGAGUGCAGUAGGGGAGACUGGAAUUCCUGGUGUAGCGGUGGAAUGCGCAGAUAUCAGGAGGAACACCGAUGGCGAAGGCAGGUCUCUGGGCUGUAACUGACGCUGAGAAGCGAAAGCAUGGGGAGCGAACAGGAUUAGAUACCCUGGUAGUCCAUGCCGUAAACGUUGGGCACUAGGUGUGGGGGACAUUCCACGUUUUCCGCGCCGUAGCUAACGCAUUAAGUGCCCCGCCUGGGGAGUACGGCCGCAAGGCUAAAACUCAAAGGAAUUGACGGGGGCCCGCACAAGCGGCGGAGCAUGCGGAUUAAUUCGAUGCAACGCGAAGAACCUUACCAAGGCUUGACAUGC
rnacentral:rRNA from 1 species